GUGAGGAAUAUUGGUCAAUGGCCGCAAGGCUGAACCAGCCAUGCCGCGUGAAGGUCAGUGCCCUAUGGGCGUUAAACUUCUUUUGUCAGGGAGCAAUAAGGGUUUCGUGAAAUCCGAUGAGAGUACCUGACGAAUAAGCAUCGGCUAACUCCGUGCCAGCAGCCGCGGUAAUACGGGGGAUGCGAGCGUUAUCCGGAUUUAUUGGGUUUAAAGGGUGCGUAGGCGGUCUGUUAAGUCAGCGGUGAAAGACCGGCGCUCAACGCCGGGGCUGCCGUUGAUACUGGCGGACUUGAAUUCGGAUGCCGUUGGGGGAAUGUGUGGUGUAGCGGUGAAAUGCAUAGAUAUCACACAGAACACCGAUUGCGAAGGCACCUGACGAAUCCGACAUUGACGCUGAGGCACGAAAGCGUGGGGAUCAAACAGGAUUAGAUACCCGAGUAGUCC
rnacentral:rRNA from 1 species